AAUGACUCAAGAAGCACAGCCUAAUGAUGAGAAAAUAACUGAUGAAGCUCAGGCCAAUGAUGAGAAAGUGGCAAAUGAAGAUCACCCUAGUGAAGGGAAAUCGCCUCAGGAAGCUCAGCUUAGUGAUGGGAAAACAUCUCAGGAACCUCAGCCUAAUGACGGGAAAAUCUCUCAGGAACCUCAACCUAAUGAAGGAAACACCAUUUAUGGAGCACAACCUCAUGAUGGAAAAAUCACUUAUGAAGAACAGCCUAAUGAGGUGAAAAUGACUUCUGAAGUACAGCCUAAGUAUGAGAAGAUGAGUCCUGAAGCCAAGCCUAAGUAUGAG
rnacentral:lncRNA from 1 species